UGGGGAAUAUUGCGCAAUGGGCGAAAGCCUGACGCAGCAACGCCGCGUGAGUGAUGAAGGCCUUCGGGUCGUAAAGCUCUGUCGGAGGGAACGAAUGCUCCAGGGGUUAACAGCCUCAGGAGGUGACGGUACCCUCAAAGGAAGCACCGGCUAACUCUGUGCCAGCAGCCGCGGUAAUACGGGGGGUGCAAGCGUUAAUCGGAAUUAUUGGGCGUAAAGGGUGCGUAGGUUGUUUGAUAAGAUAUAUGUGAAAUACCUGGGCUCAACCUGGGAAGGUCAUAUAAGACUGUCAGACUCGAGUAUGGGAGAGGGUAGAGGAAUUUCCGGUGUAGCGGUGAAAUGCGUAGAUAUCGGAAGGAACACCUGAGGUGAAGACGGUUGCUGGGCUGACACUGACGCUGAGGCGCGAAAGCCAGGGGAGCAAACGGGAUUAGAUACCCCUGUAGUCCCUGAGCGGGCUGGCAAGGCGCAU
rnacentral:rRNA from 1 species